rnacentral:rRNA from 1 species
ACGGAAGGCAGCAGUGGGGAAUUUUGCGCAAUGGGGGAAACCCUGACGCAGCAACGCCGCGUGCGGGAUGGAGGCCUUCGGGCUGUAAACCGCUUUCAGCAGGGAAGACUUCGACGGUACCUGCAGAAGAAGCUCCGGCUAACUACGUGCCAGCAGCCGCGGUAAUACGAGGGGUGCAAGCGUUGUUCGGAAUCACUGGGCGUAAAGGGAGCGCAGGCGGAAGUGCAAGCGGUCUGUACAAUACCGGGGCCCAACCCCGGACCUGCAGACCGGACUGCAUUUCUUGGAUAGUUCAGGGGCAAGCGGAAUUCCUGGUGUAGCGGUGGAAUGCGUAGAGAUCAGGAAGAACACCGAUGGCGAAGGCAGCUUGCUGGGGACUUAUCGACGCUCAUGCUCGAAAGUGCGGGUAGCAAACAGGAUUAGAUACCCUGGUA